CACGUAGGGCGCGAGCGUUGUCCGGAAUUACUGGGCGUAAAGGGCUCGUAGGCGGCCAACUAAGUCAGACGUGAAAUCCCUCGGCUUAACCGGGGAACUGCGUCUGAUACUGGAUGGCUUGAGUUUGGGAGAGGGAUGCGGAAUUCCAGGUGUAGCGGUGAAAUGCGUAGAUAUCUGGAGGAACACCGGUGGCGAAGGCGGCAUCCUGGACCAACACUGACGCUGAGGAGCGAAAGCCAGGGGAGCAAACGGG
rnacentral:rRNA from 1 species